GACGAACGCUGGCGGCGUGCUUAACACAUGCAAGUCGAACGGAAAGGCCCUGCUUUUGUGGGGUGCUCGAGUGGCGAACGGGUGAGUAACACGUGAGUAACCUGCCCUUGACUUUGGGAUAACUUCAGGAAACUGGGGCUAAUACCGGAUAGGAGCUCCUGCUGCAUGGUGAGGGUUGGAAAGUUUCGGCGGUUGGGGAUGGACUCGCGGCCUAUCAGCCUGUUGGUGGGGUAGUGGCUUACCAAGGCUUUGACGGGUAGCCGGCCUGAGAGGGUGACCGGCCACAUUGGGACUGAGAUACGGCCCAGACUCCUACGGGAGGCAGCAGUGGGGAAUAUUGCACAAUGGGCGGAAGCCUGAUGCAGCAACGCCGCGUGCGGGAUGACGGCCUUCGGGUUGUAAACCGCUUUCGCCUGUGACGAAGCGUGAGUGACGGUAAUGGGUAAAGAAGCACCGGCUAACUACGUGCCAGCAGCCGCGGUGAUACGUAGGGUGCGAGCGUUGUCCGGAUUUAUUGGGCGUAAAGGGCUCGUAGGUGGUUGAUCGCGUCGGAAGUGUAAUCUUGGGGCUUAACCCUGAGCGUGCUUUCGAUACGGGUUGACUUGAGGAAGGUAGGGGAGAAUGGAAUUCCUGGUGGAGCGGUGGAAUGCGCAGAUAUCAGGAGGAACACCAGUGGCGAAGGCGGUUCUCUGGGCCUUUCCUGACGCUGAGGAGCGAAAGCGUGGGGAGCGAACAGGCUUAGAUACCCUGGUAGUCCACGCUGUAAACGGUGGGUACUAGGUGUGGGGUCCAUUCCACGGGUUCCGUGCCGUAGCUAACGCUUUAAGUACCCCGCCUGGGGAGUACGGCCGCAAGGCUAAAACUCAAAGGAAUUGACGGGGCCCCGCACAAGCGGCGGAGCAUGCGGAUUAAUUCGAUGCAACGCGUAGAACCUUACCUGGGUUUGACAUGGAUCGGGAGCGCUCAGAGAUGGGUGUGCCUCUUUUGGGGUCGGUUCACAGGUGGUGCAUGGCUGUCGUCAGCUCGUGUCGUGAGAUGUUGGGUUAAGUCCCGCAACGAGCGCAACCCUUGUUCACUGUUGCCAGCACGUUAUGGUGGGGACUCAGUGGAGACCGCCGGGGUCAACUCGGAGGAAGGUGGGGAUGACGUCAAGUCAUCAUGCCCCUUAUGUCCAGGGCUUCACGCAUGCUACAAUGGCUGGUACAGAGAGUGGCGAGCCUGUGAGGGUGAGCGAAUCUCGGAAAGCCGGUCUCGGUUCGGAUUGGGGUCUGCAACUCGACCUCAUGAAGUCGGAGUCGCUAGUAAUCGCAGAUCAGCAACGCUGCGGUGAAUACGUUCCCGGG
rnacentral:rRNA from 1 species